rnacentral:rRNA from 1 species
AACGAACGCUGGCGGCAUGCCUAACACAUGCAAGUCGAACGAUACCUUCGGGCUUAGUGGCGCACGUCUGCUUACCGCCUGGGGAGCUGCCCUUGAGUUAGGAAUCCCUCACUGAAAGAUAACCUAAUACAAGAUAAUGUCAUACGACCAAGGAUGUAUCGCUGUAGGGUGGGCCCUCGUAAGAUUAGCUAGUUGGUGAGGUAAAAGCUAACCAAGGCGACGAUCCUUAGCUGGUCUGAGAGGAUGAUCAGCCACAAUGGGACUGAGACACGGCCCAGACUCCGACGGGAGGGAGCAGUAGGUAAUAUUGGACAAGGGGCGAAAGCCUGAUCCAGCAAUGCCGGGGGAGUGAUGAAUGCCGUAGGGUUGUAAAGCCCUUUUACCCGGGACGAGAAUGACGGUACCGGGAGAAUAAGCCCCGGCUAACUCCGUG